rnacentral:rRNA from 1 species
GACGAACGCUGGCGGCGUGCCUAAUACAUGCAAGUAGAACGCUGAAGGAGGAGCUUGCUUCUCUGGAUGAGUUGCGAACGGGUGAGUAACGCGUAGGUAACCUGCCUGGUAGCGGGGGAUAACUAUUGGAAACGAUAGCUAAUACCGCAUAAGAGUAGAUGUUGCAUGACAUUUGCUUAAAAGGUGCAAUUACAUCACUACCAGAUGGACCUGCGUUGUAUUAGCUAGUUGGUGGGGUAACGGCUCACCAAGGCGACGAUACAUAGCCGACCUGAGAGGGUGAUCGGCCACACUGGGACUGAGACACGGCCCAGACUCCUACGGGAGGCAGCAGUAGGGAAUCUUCGGCAAUGGACGGAAGUCUGACCGAGCAACGCCGCGUGAGUGAAGAAGGGUUUCGGAUCGUAAAGCUCUGUUGUAAGAGAAGAACGAGUGUGAGAGUGGAAAGUUCACACUGUGACGGUAUCUGACCAGAAAGGGACGGCUAACUACGUG